rnacentral:rRNA from 1 species
AUUGAACGCUGGCGGCAGGCUUAACGCAUGCAAGUCGAGCGGAGAGAGGUAGCUUGCUACUGAUCUUAGCGGCGGACGGGUGAGUAAUGCUUAGGAAUCUGCCUAUUAGUGGGGGACAACAUUUCGAAAGGAAUGCUAAUACCGCAUACGUCCUACGGGAGAAAGCAGGGGAUCUUCGGACCUUGCGCUAAUAGAUGAGCCUAAGUCGGAUUAGCUAGUUGGUGGGGUAAAGGCCUACCAAGGCGACGAUCUGUAGCGGGUCUGAGAGGAUGAUCCGCCACACUGGGACUGAGACACGGCCCAGACUCCUACGGGAGGCAGCAGUGGGGAAUAUUGGACAAUGGGCGCAAGCCUGAUCCAGCCAUGCCGCGUGUGUGAAGAAGGCCUUAUGGUUGUAAAGCACUUUAAGCGAGGAGGAGGCUACUUUAGUUAAUACCUAGAGAUAGUGGACGUUACUCGCAGAAUAAGCACCGGCUAACUCUGUGCCAGCAGCCGCCGUAAUAC